CUCAUGUCAGUAAUUGGUUCGUUUUAGUCCUUUUGUUAAUUUUAUUUUUGGUUUCGCUUUACGUUUCGUCAAAUUUACUUUUUAGUCCAAUUUUAUUUUUAAUCACGCUUUGGUCCAAAACUUUUAAAAAUUUCCUUUUAGUCCAUUUUUUAUUACUGUCCAGUCCUUCAAGUUUUUUAUUUUGCAGAAAGGUCCCAGGGGCAUUUUAGUCCAGAUUUUCGAUCCACAUCAGUCCCAAAACAGAUGUCAUUUUUUCAUUGGUUCUCAGAUACACAUGGCAGGCUAUAAAUAGUAAAGGUGUCAGAUCAAUCAGAGGAAUCAGUGCCAACUCACAAACAGAAUUUCGUUUUCUCUCUCAUCCUAACAGAAUCAAACACAAAAAAAUCUCAGAAAAGAGGGAAGAACACCAAGAACAAAUCAUCACCAAAUCAACAGAUCCGAACCAGAUCUGCUCAAAACCAACUCCGAUCAUCACCAAAUCAACGAAUCCGAACCGGAUUCACUCAAAACCACCUCGAAUCAUCACAUCAACACCAAAAUCGUACUGGAUUUUCGAGCAAAAACAACACCAACGGAAGCUAUAGCGCGCGCGAAGGAGAAGAGGAGAGAUUAGAAGUUUUCCGAAUAUCUUUUUUCUCCGUUCUACGACAGAGGUAACGCGUUUCUCCUCCCUUUCUAAGCCAUUUCCGCGCGUUUCUUGCUUGAAAUUGCAUGUGAAAAAGUUUGUUACGGAUAAAGAUUUGUAGAUCUAGGCUUUUGUGUUCGGAUUUUGGAAAUUUUGAGGCCGGAUUCGGACUCUAGAGAGAAAAGGAUAUCUAGAUCCGUAGUUAUUUUUCAAAAAAGUGUGAAAUUUUUUUCGAAGUUCAAGUGUAGAUCUAGCCCAAAUCUCUCAGCC
rnacentral:lncRNA from 1 species